ensembl:lncRNA
CAGGGAGAAGCCUGCAGGGCCCGUGUCACCUACCAUCUAUCUCACAGCGAGUCGUGGGGGCGUGGGGAUGGGAGAGGAGUCCUGACCUAGACCUUUAGCUACAGAGGCCUAGAAGUGGAGCAGGUCAUGAACUGUUUCCAAGCUGGGCACAGGGGUCCAGGUGGAAGGACAGAGAGGCGUUGCCUUACACAGGAGGGAGCAGGCAGAGGAUGUCAGAGGGACUCUCAUCUCUCUCCUCUCUCCUGAGGAGGAAAGAGUGAAGCCUGCCUCCACAUUCCCACUUUGCCACCUUGAACAAGUCACUUCACCUUCCUGACUGGCAGCUGUGUCCUCUACAAAGUGGACACAGUAAUACCUGUCUUGUAGGGCUGUUAAGUGGCUGGGACAAGGCUGGCAUCAGAAGAUCUUCAACAAGUAAGAGUUCUCUCCCAAUUCAUCACCCUUCAGUCAGAGCGCUGGGCAGUAGCUGUCUCCAUAUUCUAAAGCAAGGGGACUCACUUUAAGGGAGAUAUUUAGGAUUCACAAGCUUCAUUAGAGAUCUGAUGUGCUUGGUCUGGGAGGUGUCCAGGAGCAAAGAGAUGUUUAGAAGCUCCCCAAGUGACUCCAGUGGGCCACCGGGGCUGAGCAUUCCUUGUGAUUCUACUGAUAAAGAUCAAGUUAAUGAAUAAAAUUAGCUUUUUUUCUUAUUGCACUUUAGGGACAAGUGCAGCUGAAUGAGGGUCUUGGGGUCCAAAGACUUGGGAAAUUAAAGAAAUUUAACCCCUUUGGACACUAGGGUCAACUCUGAAAUGUUGUUUAAAGCUUGGAUGUUUUGCCAAACCCGGUUUAAGUUUGCUUUUUUUGAAUAACAUGAUGAACAGUUCUGUGUUGAUUUUUUUCCCCUCCCUAUUAUUUUGCAAUGGCCCUUAUUCAAAGGCCUGCAAAAUUUGAUGAAUGAUAUCCCUCUGAUACACAUGUCUAAGAAUAAAUUAGAAAAUAUUUGAAAUUCAUUGAAAUAUAUAUAGGGGCAAGUGUCAUUUGGUUCUACAAGGAUUGAGGGUCUAUAGAAAGACGUCUUUCAGAAUAAAUGUCAAGCAUUCUUUUCAGAUGAAUAAGUCCCUACAGAGGUCCAUCAUGACUGGUCAGUUAAUCCCUCAGUUCAACUAAUAACUGUUCACUGAUUCUUUGAAAGGAGUUCUGGAAUGGGGUUGGGGCUCUAACAGACGCAGGAAUGACAUAGAAACUCUUGAUCCAGUCCUGGGAAACUGAUGCUUUCUUUCCUUUCAUAAGCCAGAGGGAUCUGGCAGUGUUUUCUCAGACUUCUCUCUUUUACUCUUGGAAUCUUCAUGCCCUCUGAGAUUUAAUGAGUAGUUUUCAAAGUGUGGUCCCUGGACCAGCUGCAUUAGCAUCAUCUGGGCACUUGUUAGGAAUGCAAAUUGCCCUGCCCACACAGCAUACUGACUGAAUCAGAAAUUCUGGGCUGGGGCCCAGCCAUCAACGUUUUCACCAACUUCCCAGGAGAUUCUGAUCCACUAGGGUUAAGAACUAAAAGCACAGACGGAUCGUGGACAAACUUGGCUUCAAAAUCAGCUCUGCCACUUAUCACUCAGGACACCCACAAACUUCACUGCUAAUAUCUUCCUGGAAGACGCUUCUCUCCACCUUGGAUCAGGAACAAGAUAAGAAUGUCACUCUCACUGUGACUCUAUGCUAUACCAGAGGCUCCAGAUAGUUUAUUAAGUCAAGAAAAAGAAAUGAAAGGUAUAUACGUUGGAGAAGUAAAAUUGCCUUUAUGUACAAAUGACACGACUGUUUACAGAGAAAAGCUGAUGGAAUCUACAGUAAAGCUACUAAAACUAAGUGAGUUUAGUGAGGCUGCAGGGUACCAAAUCAAUGUACAAAGAUCAACAUUAUU